rnacentral:rRNA from 1 species
UACGAGUGCUUCAAGCGUUAUCCGGAAUCAUUGGGCGUAAAGGGUGUGUAGGCGGCGAUGUUAGUCUCGCGUUAAAUUCUCCGGCUCAACCGGGGAGCUGCGUGGGAAACGGCAUUGCUUGAGGAUGGAAGGGGUCUGCGGAACUCAUGGUGUAGCGGUGAAAUGCGUUGAUAUCAUGGGGAACACCGAAAGCGAAGGCAGCAGACUGGUCCACUCCUGACGCUGAAACACGAAAGCGUGGGGAGCGAACAGG